GACGAACGCUGGCGGCGUGCUUAACACAUGCAAGUCGAACGGAAAGGCCCUGCUUUCGCGGGGUGCUCGAGUGGCGAACGGGUGAGUAACACGUGAGUAACCUGCCCUUGACUUUGGGAUAACUUCAGGAAACUGGGGCUAAUACCGGAUAGGAGCUCCUGCUGCAUGGUGGGGGUUGGAAAGUUUCGGCGGUUGGGGAUGGACUCGCGGCUUAUCAGCUUGUUGGUGGGGUAGUGGCUUACCAAGGCUUUGACGGGUAGCCGGCCUGAGAGGGUGACCGGCCACAUUGGGACUGAGAUACGGCCAAGACUACUACGGGAGGCAGCAGUGGGGAAUAUUGCACAAUGGGCGGAAGCCUGAUGCAGCAACGCCGCGUGCGGGAUGACGGCCUUCGGGUUGUAAACCGCUUUCGCCUGUGACGAAGCGUGAGUGACGGUAAUGGGUAAAGAAGCACCGGCUAACUACGUG
rnacentral:rRNA from 1 species